UACGUAGGGGGCAAGCGUUGUCCGGAUUCAUUGGGCGUAAAGCGCACGCAGGCGGCUGCGAGAGCCCGGCGUGAAAGCUCCCAGCUUAACUGGGAGAGGUCGUCGGGGACCUCGCGGCUGGAGGCCGGUAGGGGUGAGGCGGAAUUCCCGGUGUAGUGGUGGAAUGCGUAGAGAUCGGGAGGAACACCGGUGGCGAAGGCGGCUCACUGGGGCCGGUCCUGACGCUCAGGCGCGAAAGCGUGGGGAGCAAACAGG
rnacentral:rRNA from 1 species